AUAGACAUGUUAACUUAUUAAUUCUUUGAAGUACAGAAUACUUUUAUUCACUCUAAAUGUGCCAAUUUGAAGCAUGAACUUAGUUUGUGUUGGUACAGUCUAGACUAACUACUUCUGCAUGACUGUGACUGCCACAGCCUUCCACGUAUAGUCUCAGCCAUAAUGUGUGCUUCAAACUGUGUCAACCGUCUAAAAGCCGUCUUUAUCAUUUUGAAGUGAAUGGGAGAGAAAUUUGCUUCAUUUUCUAGCUUUUUUCUCUUUCUUUUGUAAACUGUGAUAUAUUUCAAUGUUCUUUUAUUAGCUGAAUCACAUGGUAGAAAGGCUUAGUAUCAAAUGAGGUAAAAAUACCCUCGGUGAUCUGUGGAAAUGGAGCUAGCAAAUUUGCUCCAGUGCAUGCAGUUGAUGCUCUAGGUUCAGUAAAAGGAACAAUAGCAAAAAACUUGGGAACACCUACACUGCACAAAAUAUUUCAGAGCUUUCCUCCCAGAAGGGCAGGUAUGCCAAAGAACAAGAUGGGGCUGAGCUGUUUCCAAUCGCUGACCUCUCUUGAGUCCAUUCAGUGUAGCUGCCAUCUGUAUCAGCGAUAGAACUUUCAGAGCAGGCAUUGAAUAUGAAGAAAUAUAUAAGCUUUAAAAGUGGAACUUGUGAUUUCAAAAACCUUGUAGUUAAGCCUGCUGUGCUUGCUGUUAAAAUGUAGUUAUGGUAGGAGAAAUUAGUGUUAAAAAUGGCACCUCCUUUACUCAACAGUUUUGCUAUUUUUUGGGAAUCAGACAGGGUUAUUUCAAUGCCCAGACCAUACUCCCCCUGGCCUUCUUAGCCCUUUGCAGCCAUUAAAGUUCAGAACAAUUUAGUUCCUACUUUUGUUGCUCAUCUAUCACCAAAUUUACUGACACUCAUUGGCCUUUCCUGCAAGGUGACAAUUGUCAAGAUACAAAGAGUAUGUUAAUUUGACGAAGGUCAUAUUUCCAUGACGGCAGCAACAGUAUAACAUGGAGCAUAAAGCAAAUAGCAAACUGCGAAAAGCUGUGCCAAACCAGGAUGCUUCUUUCUUGUCUUAACCAUCCAAGGUACCUGUGUCCAAAGCAAAGGAUACUGUGAGCAUUUCUGCAUGACAGUUGGCAGGAGAGAGCCCUACAUGGAUGGCAGACUGGUCUGAAGGGCUAUUGGAGGGUGCUGGAAGGGAAUGCUCUAGGAUUCCCUGCCUGCUGCAUUCCAAUAGAUUCCAUGGAUUGUAUCUCUGCGUCCUGAUGAACCCUUCAUAUGACAAGGUUGGCACUUGGACAGGAAAAAAAUAAAACAUAAAACAGUACAGAAGACAUUCUUGGAGAAAAAUUCAGCAAAACAUCAAAGUAGCACUUUCCCAUGAGCCUUCACACCCUGAAGAGCCAAGGCAAUGGAAAGCAGCCAAAGCCUGAACUGGAAGCCUGAACACAUUGUGAAGAACCUUUAUCUGCAGAAAGCUCUGUGAACAGCCCUUCUUAUCGCACCUAAUGUUUCCCACACCUAACUGCAAGAAGGCCUGCUAUUUGUGCUGUGUCUUGUUCCAGUGGAGACGGCUGCUACAUUGGACCAAAUGUGCACCUUCUGGGUUAGCAAAACCUAUAAAUAUGUAUGGAUGAAUUAAUAUAUGACUGUAGCAUACAAUUACAUGCCUUCUCUUCUGUGCGCAUAGUGGGAAAUAUGGAUCUAGCCCUUCAUAAUUCUGCUGCUGGCCACUGCUGAGAUCUCUUGAUAGAAGGGGUGGAAAACUCUGCAAGUUAUCUUUAAGAUAGCUUUGAGCUAUCCCAGAUCUCCCUCUGCUGCAACUAUCUGUUUUAUAAUGCUAUCACUGUUCCAUCUAGAAGAGGGAACAAAGGUAUCCACACCAUGCUCGGCUCAUCAUGGUUUGCUCUUUUUAAGGCUGGACCACAGUUUGGGAGAGCAACACUGCUCUGUAAUGUUUUUCAGUGCACUUACUACACUGACGUGUAAUGCUAUGUGAAUAUUAUCUCUGUGUGUGUGUGAGAGGUACAUGCAUGCCUCUAUGAGCAUGUGUAUGUAAACAGCCUAUGCAUUUACAAAGUCAAAUGCCUGCAGUAACACUGAAUUUUCUGAUUUAGAAAGAAUAUAGAGUCCAAUUUGCUACCAUGAUUAAAUCUGUUCCAAUUCUAUUAAGUUUAGGAAGACUGUCUUUUGGUAUUUGAAAGAGAAAGCAAACAAAAGCCAGCUGUUAAAAUCAGUGACUUCUAAAAACUGCAUUUUCUGUAAUAAUCUCCCAUGUCAGUAGAGAAUACAGAUUUGUGGUGUUCCAGUGCAGUCAGUUUCAGAUUGACUACUUGUGCCUGUAUUAUCUUUUCAGGCUGGAGAACCUGCUCAUUAAAGACACACAUUAAACACAGAUUUCUUAUUCAUGCCUUUUGAUUUCAGAUAUUGGCUUAGCCAGUGACUGCUUUGUGACAAGACUAAAUAGUUGUUCUAGCAUAGGCAGCUUUAAAAAUAAUGCGGCUGAAGAAGUAGAGAACUUUGAGACCCUUGGAGGUACAUGUGCUUGUAAAGGAAGGUAGGAAACUGAAUGGAAAGCAAAUGUUAACUUGAAGGUUUUUUGUGAAGAAAGGAAAUAUUUGCCUAGGUAAAUAAUGAAAAGAAGCUUGUCUGGAAGAGCAUGCUACGUUCUCAUAAGCUUAGCAUCAGUCAGAAGAGCAAGGAUACUAGCCUGAUUCUUUGGACACGUUUUAAUGAAGGUGAUUGCUCAUACUGGAAGCUCUAACUGCAACAUAAAAGGCAUGUAUUAUGCAGGAUUAUGUGGUUCUUGAAAGUGUAUUCCUGACCAGAAGUUAAACGUAGAACUUCUACAUCAUCAUUAAAAGCAGAAGCAAAAUCUCCUACUCAGGUAAAAAAAGUGUGUGUUUUCUCUUCCUUUCUAAAUGAAAAUGGAAAAUAACUUGUUAGAUUACUCUUUUUUUACCCUUGAGUACCUUUCUCUCUGACUAUCCUUUACGUGGAUAUCAUAGAAUCAUAUAAUGUCCUGAGUUGGAAGGGACCCACAAGGAUCAUUGAGUCCAACUCCUGUCCCAGCACAGGACACUGUAUCUCUGAGGGUGUUGUCCAAGUGCUUCUUGAAUAUCACCAAGCUUGGCGCCGUGGUGCCUCCCUGGGGAGCCUGUUCCAGGGCUCCACCACCCUCUGGGGGAAGAACCUUUUCCUAAUAUCCAGCCUAACCCUCCCCUGGCACAUCUCCCUGCCAUUCCCUUGGGUCCCAUCAUUGGUCACCAGAGAGAACAGAUCAGCCCCUGGCCCUCCUCCUCCCCUUGUGAGGAAGCUGCAGACCACGAUGAGGGCUGCCCUCAGCCUCCUCUUCUCCAGGCUGAACAAACCAAGGGGCUUUAGCCACUCCUCAUAUGGCUUUGCCUCUAAACCCUUCAUCAACUUUGUGGCCCUUCUCUGGACACUCUCUAGUAGCUUUAUAUCCUUAAUUUACUGUGGUGCCCAAAACUGCACCCAGUGCUCAAGGUGCGGCUGCACCAACGCGGAGCAGAGCAGGACAAUCCCCUCCCUUGACCAGCUGCAAUGCAGGACUUGAUACACCGUGGGUCACAGUUGGCCCUCUUGGCUUCCAGGCCACAU